AUGAAGGGACCCUGCAGCGAAACGGAGAGCCAACCUCUGACUGAGUGCCUGUCUACACAGUCUGACCACCUGUUGAAGGGCUGUUUGAUGACGAUUUGGACUCCUCUGGGAGAUGAGGACACACCCACAUCUGUUCCAUACUGCAGCCAUGGAUGGUGUUACAGCUCUGAGUCAGCUUUGGGCCAUCAGACGCACACACUGGAAAACCAGCACCUGGACUUCAUGCAGGAGAGACUGCCUCAGUGAUGUAGGUUCAUAAGCGAGUUCAAACAUUUCUGGCCUCUUAUCACUUAGAUUUUGAAUGCAUUUAAAGCAGGAACUGCACACUAGGGGUGGGUUUUAAUAAUCGAUUCAUCGAUUAAAAUCGAUUCUGGCUUGGAUAACGUGAAAUCGAUUCAUUAAAAUCCUGAGUCGAUUUUUUUAAUAUAAAUUUAUUUUGCCCGAAACGCCAGAAUCUCGAGUGAAACCUCACAAAAUUUCAACAACCACCAAACAGCUAAGACAGUAAAUGAGAUCAGGUACACGGAUUCUGCACAAGGACGUAAACACACAGCGCGGACCCGCGGAUCAGAAUCAGUGAGAUGUCGCCUUUCUCACCCGACGGGCGCUGCAGCUUUAAGCGUCUGCGCGCGUUCCCACGGACGGCAAUCACUUUCUGGCACAACAACUGCACGGACACGGUCGGUGCUGAAAGCUGACAGCUCCCUGAUUCUGAUAUUUCGGCGGGUAGCACUUUGUGUUCACGCCCUUUUUGCGCUGAUUCUAAAGCUGUUAGUUUUAUCUCUCUCCAAACAAUAUUGACCGAAGCAGCAGCAAAAGAAGAUCCAAACUACGCUUCACGUAAACAUCGUCAUGAAUUCCCUCUGACUUUUACUGUUUUGCUUCACCCACGAUAAAAUCACACGUCAUGCACAGCUCCCUCUCUCUCUCUGUGUACUGUUUUCUGCAUUAUUCGCAUUAACAGUAACUCUGUUGUUUACAGCGCUGUCGGCCGCUGUUUUUUUUUUUUGUUUUGUUUUUUCAUUUUACAUUCUUCCGAAAGAAACAGAAUUUCUGCCGUUCAAUACUGAACAAAUUUAAACUUUUUAAAAUUAUGCAAAAUGCAAAACGCUCAGCCGUGUCUCUAAUAAAACCACUGUAACGUCAGAGGUAACGUUCAUAUGUUGAUUAAUGGUUUUCUUUCGUUUUUGAUGUACUGCAGAAUAUUUUAUAAAAUCCCAGGCCAGGAAACCACCUUCAUGUUUUUAUGUUUUAUCUUCAGCUACUUUGACACAAAAGCAUCUGCUGUGACGCUCACACCUUUGAUAAAGUCUUGCGUGUGUCAGCUUCCUUUUUAUAGAUACAAAAAUAUGUCAAUGUACUGAUCUGAAUUAUAUUUCUGUCAAAAUUUCCCAGAUUCAAAUCGAAUUUAAUCGAAUCGUGGAUCGAAUCGAUUCGGGACCUUGUGAAUCGGAAUUGAAUCGAUUCUAGAAAUCAGUGACGAUACCCAGCCCUACUGCACACCUAGCUGUCAAAAGUUUGGCAGCAUGAGUACUGUAAAGUUUUGUAGGGUCCUUGUUAAAAAUUCCACAAGCACCACACCACAUUUGUCAUAUACAGUUCCAUUUUGUACAGGACAUUUUGAAAUUAUAUAUAUAUAUAUUCUAGUUAUCCACUUGUCAGUAAUUUUUGAGUAAAUGGAUGUCACUGAUAAAUCAGUGGUGAUUCACCUGCAAAUGUUUUUAACAACUUUGUUUUUGUAGAAUUCAUCAGCAGCUGUGAGGAGAUGCAUUUGAAUAUCUUCUGGUUCCACUUUUCCUUACUGGAAGCUGAGAUGGCUGAUUCUGACAAGGACACACACCUCAGGCUUAUCAUGGGUGUUACAUCCUCUGUGCAGCAAUUCCAGAGAAAACGAGAGAGCAACGACCACUCAUUAAGACCAGACAGAAAUCUGUCCCUUUCUGGCAGCUGUGGAAACUUCCAAUAAAAAGUUUGCAUUCUUAGAACAAUGCUGGAUCAUGUGUGAUGUGUCAUCAUAUGAGGAUAUUACAUUUUGCUUAAUUCUGCUCAAUUAAGUGUUUUGAUCGUUGAUCCAGUAUGGCAGCUUUGUGUUGUGCUGCAAGUUAAACCCAUGUCCUCAUGACACAGCAUCUAACAACUCUCCUUAAAAAAGUCGAUUGACUUUAACUGGACACAAUGGUUUCCAGUGGGAGAUACAUUCAUCACUCAUCCGUGACACUGGAGAAGUCACCUGGAUGAGUGAUAAAACAAUUUUCCAUGGAAAAUCCAGAGGAACUAAACUUUGUUGUUGUUCUUUGGGCUCAAUUUUGCCUGAGGCUGAAAUUGAGCCAAAAUGUUUUCUUUCGGUUUCAGAAGAAAACAUUUUGCCAAUAAUCAGAUAAAAAGAUUGUUGAACCAGGUGGUAUUCUCUGGAUUUAAGACCAAAACUGAACUCAGUGAAUUGACAUUAGACUGGAAUUCAUAAGAUGAAUAGAAAUACUGCUGAAGCUGAAUGAAUAUGUGUGUGUGUGUGUGGUGGUGAUCUUUGUUUUCUCCAAUUCACCAGGUCUGUAAAGUUCAGUAUGACUGUGGUACAUGAUACAAAAGAAUAAAUACAGAAGAAUAACAACUUUAUGUGAAUAACUUUACUCUUCUUAAAAAUAACUCAUAAAACAAGUAAAAGUACAAAUGUGUACAAGUUAGAGACUUCCUCAGUAAGUUUACACUCUUUUGGAGUGAUUUUAAUUGUGUGUUAAAGAAGAAAGAGAUUAGAGGUAAAGUAGAGGAUGCAGAGUCCAUCACUGAGGCCGUCUCUCCUGCAUGAAGUCCAGGUGCUGGUUUUCCAGUGUGUGCGUCUGAUGGCCCAAAGCUGACUCAGAGCUGUAACACCAUCCAUGGCUGCAGUAUGGAACAGAUGUGGGUGUGUCCUCAUCUCCCAGAGGAGUCCAAAUCGUAUCAACAGCCCUACAGACACAAAACGUGAAAAUAUAAACAACCAGACUAUCAGCAGUGAUUUAAGUACUUUAAGACCUCUGUGAAAAUCAUUUACAGUAUAUAUCACAGAAUUUAAGGCCUUUAUAAUCACAGAGCAUACAGAGAAAAGUACUAAACUGAAUCAAUUUCAGCUUUCAUUUUCAUGAUGUAUAUUGUAUUAAUAAUUAAAUUUCAUUAUCUGUAUCUUUACCACACAUUUGCCACACAGGUGUAGAUACUAUAGGUUCGUGAAUGCUUACAUUGCACUGAUUAGAAUAUACUGGACAUCAAAGCUAAGAUUCAGCGCACUGUGUUAGAGCUGGGAUUUGAUGAAUUCAUCAUUUAACACCUUGAUCAUCAUUUAUGUCCAGUUGAGAAUGAAUCUGUGCACUCACAUAUUAAAUGAACUGAAAUCAGUAGUGUGAUCUCCAGUCUUUAUAUGUUGAAUGAGAGAACUGACAGCUGUUAUUUUAACAGCCUGUCUCAGUUGUUUUAACUCUAAGUACCAUAGAGUAAUGUGGUAACAUCUGGACUGACGAGUUUACUGUCAGCAUUGUAAUCGCUAGUUUAAAGGCUGUAGGUUGCAGCCAUUGCUCUAACACUGUAUAAAUGUAACAGGCCUCAGUGCUGGUUCUAACAGUCUGAGCUGCUUCCAGCUUUAUUUUGUGAAGAGCACAGCAGCUUACAAAACACGUAGCGAGCUCGUACAGCUGCGACGUAAAACUUUCAUUAGCUAAGAUGAUCUUAAAAUAACGGGGCUACGUGCGGUGAUGCUAGCGUUAGCCACGUUAGCACCUUACCUUCAACAGGUGGUCAGAAUGUGUAGACAGCACUCAGUCAGAGGUUGGCUCUCCGUUUCGCUGCAGGGUCCUUCAUUCUUCACUUAUCCGUGUCGAGCCGAGUGUAAAUCCCGACGCUGAACGGCCUUUGUACAAGCACACACGCUUCCUAGCAGGGAGAAGCUAUGAGCUAGAAAAAUCCAGGCUGGCAGACAGCCUGUGUCUGACCAACCAAUCAGAGAGCUCCUUACAUCCCACGGUGUGGCUAAUUUGAAUAGCCUCCAGCAAGUUGUUAAUCGAAGAGCUAAUCCAGGAGCUAAUCCAGCAGCUAAUCCGGAGCGAACAGGAAAGGAAAUGGAUUUUGAACUGCAGUUUAUUAAUUGCAAGUGGAAAGGGAUUUUGAACUGCAGUUUAUUAAAUUGCAAGUGGAAAAGGACUUGAACUGCAGUUUAUUAAAUUGCAGGUGGAAAAAGGAUUUUCCCAACUGCAGUUUAUUAAAUUGCAAGUGGAAAAAGGAUUUUGAACUGCAGUUUAUUAAAUUGCAAGUGGAAAAAGGAUUUUGAACUGCAGUUUAUUAAAUUGCAGGUGGAAAAAGGAUUUUGAACUGCAGUUUAUUAAUUGCAAGUGGAAAAAGGAUUUUGAACUGCAGUUUAUUAAAUUGCAACUGAAAAAAGGAUUUUAAAAUGCAGUUUAUUAAAGUGCAAUUGGAAAAAGGAUUUUGAAAUGCAAUUGGAAAAAGGAUUUUGAAAUGCAGUUUAUUAAAUUGGAAUUCAAAAAUGAAUUUACAAUUGCAGAAUUUAUUCUACAAUUCAUUAUUAAAGCACAGAAAUUUUUAUUUCGAUGCGCGUGGCUCUUGUGGUCCUCCAUACUAAAUUGAUCUGGGGGACAAACCGCAAAGUAACGCAGAGGAAAUUAAUGUACAAAGGAAAAAAAAAAUGGAGGAUUAGGAGCGCCAGAUCUUGGUGUCAUUUUGAUGAUUCCCUUUUUGAAAAAUGUAUACAGCGCAUUAGAGCGAAGCACCCACUGGAUCCAAGGGGA
rnacentral:lncRNA from 1 species